rnacentral:rRNA from 1 species
GACGAACGCUGGCGGCGUGCCUAAUACAUGCAAGUAGAACGCUGAAGGAGGAGCUUGCUUCUCUGGAUGAGUUGCGAACGGGUGAGUAACGCGUAGGUAACCUGCCUGGUAGCGGGGGAUAACUAUUGGAAACGAUAGCUAAUACCGCAUAAUAGUAGAUGUUGCAUGACAUUUGCUUAAAAGGUGCAAUUGCAUCACUACCAGAUGGACCUGCGUUGUAUUAGCUAGUUGGUGGGGUAACGGCUCACCAAGGCGACGAUACAUAGCCGACCUGAGAGGGUGAUCGGCCACACUGGGACUGGGACACGGCCCAGACUCCUACGGGAGGCAGCAGUAGGGGAUCUUCGGCAAUGGACGGAAGUCUGAACGAGCAACGCCGCGUGAGUGAAGAAGGUUUUCGGAUCGUAAAGCUCUGUUGGAAGAGAAGAACGAGUGUGAGAGUGGAAAGUUCACACUGUGACGGUAUCUUACCAGAAAGGGACGGCUAACUACGUG